CACGUAGGGUGCGAGCGUUGUCCGGAAUUAUUGGGCGUAAAGAGCUCGUAGGCGGUGUGUCGCGUCGGCCGUGAAAACUUGGGGCUUAACUCUGAGCGUGCGGUCGAUACGGGCAUCACUUGAGUUCGGCAGGGGAGACUGGAAUUCCUGGUGUAGCGGUGAAAUGCGCAGAUAUCAGGAGGAACACCGGUGGCGAAGGCGGGUCUCUGGGCCGAUACUGACGCUGAGGAGCGAAAACAUGGGGAGCGAACAGG
rnacentral:rRNA from 1 species